rnacentral:rRNA from 1 species
GAUGAACGCUGGCGGCGUGCCUAAUACAUGCAAGUCGAACGAUGAAGCCGGAGCUUGCUCUGGUGAAUUAGUGGCGAACGGGUGAGUAACACGUGAGUAACCUGCCCUCGACUCUGGGAUAACUGCGGGAAACUGUAGCUAAUACCGGAUACGACCCUCGGAGGCAUCUCCUGGGGGUGGAAAGAAUUUCGGUCAAGGAUGGACUCGCGGCCUAUCAGCUAGUUGGUGAGGUAAAGGCUCACCAAGGCGACGACGGGCAGCCGGCCUGAGAGGGUGACCGGCCACACUGGAACUGAGACACGGCCCAGACUCCUACGGGAGGCAGCAGUGGGGAAUAUUGCACAAUGGGCGCAAGCCUGAUGCAGCAACGCCGCGUGAGGGAUGACGGCCUUCGGGUCGUAAACCUCUUUUAGCAGGGAAGAAGCGAAAGUGACGGUACCUGCAGAAAAAGCACCGGCUAACUACGUGCCAGCAGCCGCAGUAA